rnacentral:rRNA from 1 species
AGUGAACGCUGGCGGUAGGCCUAACACAUGCAAGUCGAACGGCAGCACAGUAAGAGCUUGCUCUUACGGGUGGCGAGUGGCGGACGGGUGAGGAAUACAUCGGAAUCUACUUUUUCGUGGGGGAUAACGUAGGGAAACUUACGCUAAUACCGCAUACACCUACGGGUGAAAGCAGGGGAUCUUCGGACCUUGCGCGAUUGAAUGAGCCGAUGUCGGAUUAGCUCGUUGGCGGGGUAAAGGCCCACCAAGGCGACGAUCCGUAGCUGGUCUGAGAGGAUGAUCAGCCACACUGGAACUGAGAAACGGUCCAGACUCCUACGGGAGGCAGCAGUGGGGAAUAUUGGACAAUGGGCGCAAGCCUGAUCCAGCCAUACCGCGUGGGUGAAGAAGGCCUUCGGGUUGUAAAGCCCUUUUGUUGGGAAAGAAAAGCAGCAGGUUAAUACCCCGCUGUUCUGACGGUACCCAAAGAAUAAGCACCGGCUAACUUCGUG